rnacentral:rRNA from 1 species
UACGUAGGGGGCUAGCGUUGUCCGGAAUCAUUGGGCGUAAAGCGCGUGUAGGCGGUUCGGUAAGUCUGCUGUGAAAGUCGGGGGCUCAACCCUCGAAUGCCGGUGGAUACUGUCGGGCUAGAGUACGGAAGAGGCGAGUGGAAUUCCUGGUGUAGCGGUGAAAUGCGCAGAUAUCAGGAGGAACACCAAUUGCGAAGGCAGCUCGCUGGGACGUAACUGACGCUGAGACGCGAAAGCGUGGGGAGCAAACAGG